rnacentral:rRNA from 1 species
AUACGGAGGAUGCGAGCGUUAUCCGGAUUUAUUGGGUUUAAAGGGAGCGUAGGUGGGAUAUUAAGUCAGCUGUGAAAGUUUGGGGCUCAACCUUAAAAUUGCAGUUGAUACUGGUUUCCUUGAGUACGGUAUAGGUGGGCGGAAUUCGUGGUGUAGCGGUGAAAUGCUUAGAUAUCACGAAGAACUCCGAUCGCGAAGGCAGCUCACCGGGCCGGAACUGACACUGAUGCUCGAAAGUGCGGGGAUCAAACAGGAUUAGAUACCCUGGUAGUCCGCACAGUAAACGAUGAAUACUCGCUGUUUGCGAUACACUGUAAGCGGCCAAGCGAAAGCGUUAAGUAUUCCACCUGGGGAGUACGCCGGCAACGGUGAAACUCAAAUGAAUUGGCGGGG